GGGAACGUGCCCUUCGGUUCGGAAUAACUCAGGGAAACUUGAGCUAAUACCGGAUACGCCCUUUUGGGGAAAGGUUUACCGCCGAAGGAUCGGCCCGCGUCUGAUUAGCUAGUUGGUGGGGUAACGGCCUACCAAGGCGACGAUCAGUAGCUGGUCUGAGAGGAUGAUCAGCCACACUGGGACUGAGACACGGCCCAGACUCCUACGGGAGGCAGCAGUGGGGAAUAUUGGACAAUGGGCGCAAGCCUGAUCCAGCCAUGCCGCGUGAGUGAUGAAGGCCUUAGGGUUGUAAAGCUCUUUUGUCCGGGACGAUGAUGACGGUACCGGAAGAAUAAGCCCCGGCUAACUUCGUGCCAGCAGCCGCGGUAAUACGAAGGGGGCUAGCGUUGCUCGGAAUCACUGGGCGUAAAGGGCGCGUAGGCGGCCGAUUAAGUCGGGGGUGAAAGCCUGUGGCUCACCACAGAAUUGCCUUCGAUACUGGUUGGCUUGAGACCGGAAGAGGACAGCGGAACUGCGAGUGUAGAGGUGAAAUUCGUAGAUGUUCGCAAGAACACCAGUGGCGAAGCGGCUGUCUGGUCCGGUUCUGACGCUGAGGCGCGAAAGCGUGGGGGAGCAACAGGAUUAGAUACCCUGGUAGUCCACGCCGUAACGAUGAAUGCCAGCCGUUGGUCUGCUUGCAGGUCAGUGGCGCCUCUACGCAUUAGCAUUCCGCCUGGGGAGUACGGUCGCAAGAUUAAA
rnacentral:rRNA from 1 species